UAUAUAAAUAACAAGCAAAAUACUCAUUUAUUUGCUGUGCCUCAUUCUGAGAGAUUUAAAAAGUAUUUGAAUCAUUGUACAUUAUGGACAUCUGUCCCCGCUACGAACACGUGGGCGGGGACAGAUGGGAAUAAAGCUCAGCGCAGCACUCAUUUCCACAUGUGUUGCUCUCUCAUGUGUUGUUGUGGUAAAACUACGGGGUAUAUAAUAAUUUAUCCAAAUUCAAUCUAUCCCCGGCUGAUACGGCAGGAAGGAAUAAUUCCUAUCUGUCCGCAUAGAUCCUGUGGGGAGGUGGGGUCAAACGGAAAUAUACCAAAAGCUUCUAUCAUGCGCCAAUUAAAGUUGUUAUUUAAAUAUCGCUUCUCUUACUUUUUGCUUAGAUAACCCUUCUGAAGAAGAACGGAACCCUUAUAAGGACUGACUUCUCAGCCUCUGUGGGUGUCUCUCGUCUGUCCGUUCGUCCAUCCGUCUGUCUGUGUGCAUCAAAGAUAAUGAAUUAAAAUCUGGAAUAAAAUAAUUAAUUAUUAUGUAAUUGAAACAGCACAUUGCCCAACGCAUCGGGCGCAUAAUUUAUUAAAAUAUUAGUGGCUGCGCUGUUACAUUUUUAUUUCAUGUGUUAAUUGUGUUUUUAGUAAAAAUCAAAAGUCUAGUUUUCACGCUUUUUUUGGACGGGUUAAUUCAUCGAAUAAUUUUUGCUGAUAUGAGGAUGUGCCUUUCUUUUACAUAAACUUACGUACAGUUUUUAUAACGCGCUAAACGUAACGUUGAUUGCGCAGCCAUCUUAUUUUUGUCCUACUUUUAGAAUUCUAAUUAAAAACGAAAAUUGCCUAAUUUAUUUUUUAUCGCGUUAAAAACUCGUACCCGAAUUGUUUUUAUGUUAUCCCUUUACACCCGGUCAGAAUGUGAUUGUAAGGGUUGUUUACAGGUAAAUGUAAAUUUUAAACACAUGUCAAUAAGUUAGCAAAUCUCAUUAUUUCGGGUGGAAGGGGUUAUGCGAAUUUAUCUAAUUAUAAUAAAAAACAGCGGUGCGUAAGAUAUACUCCGUGGGCUGGAGUAACCCGACAAAUUUUAAGCACGCAUUCCUGAGGUCAUAAGGAACAAUAUAUAUGACAAACAAACAAUCAUUUAUUUGCAUAAAAAGGGUAACGUUUACAAGUCUUAUGUAAGUACACAGUAGUUUGUUUCACCUUUUCAGCUGUGUACAAGCAGCAUGCAAAUCCAUGAAGGCAUCUUAAAAAUAAUUUCAUUUGAAAACUUAAUAACUAUUUCAAACAACUAUAACCUUUUAUAAAAAUUAUCAAAUGUUUACAGAUUUACGCAGACUGUUAUUUAAAAAAAUCUUGAGUACUAGAGAAGCACCGAUCAAGAAGCCAAUUUCUUAAGGUUUGCUUAAAUUCAUUGCCUUCAAGAGUUUUUAUUUGAACUGGCAACUUGUUAUAGAUAACAAUACUUAUAUUGAAAGCAUUUUUUUUAUAAAUGCUAGUCAUACAACGUGGCUGAUUGAGGAGAUAUUUAUAUUGUGGUAUGGGAUUAGCACAGAACAAAUCUGAACGCUUUAGGAAAGAAUUUGGGAAUUGGUUAAAAAGUACAAAUGUUUAAUAUGACUAUCGAAUUCGACAAAAAAAAUAUCUUUUUUGCAUGUUUGUGUGUUGUCUGCACAGGACACUUUAUUUCUGCUUACAGAUGCAACAUUACAGCGAAUAAGUAGUUUUUUUUAAAUUUACAGAUGAAUUUUGCGAGUUUCCUUUAAAACUAAUGUCUGUCAACAGGUAUGUCUAAACCAAGUCGCAUAGUGACAGCGUCGUAGCCAAAAAUGCGUAUUUCACUGAGAUAUCCUUGAAAUUGUCCCGAUAAAAGGGGUUUAAUCAUUACUUUGCCCAUCGUUCGGAGUUUUUUCUUUUGACCUCAAAGGUUUUGAUUUAUUUGGAUAUUCUGAAUAUCCUUAAUCGAAUCAUGAACAUGUCAAUCAGCGUACCCAUCAUCCGAUUGCUAUCAUAAAAUAAUCUUUUAAUUCCCUAUUGACAGUUUCGGGACAUUAUUAAUAUUCUUAUUUGUAUAAUCCGCAACUGUUAGAAAACGAUUUGACAGAUCAGAUGUCUUACCACACCAUGGGCUUACAUUUUUUUGGAGAUUAUAUAGUGUUUUGUUAUAUUCAUUCACAAUUUCCGUACCUAAUCACUCCACAGAAAUAUAAUACUGAAAACUACGUAAUGUUACGCAGCGUCAGGUUCCGAGUACGAUAUACUGGACAUUUCAAGCUAUUGUUGAGAUCACUACGGUUUGACAUACAGACAGACGACGUUCGGAAAUGACUUUUUCAGGUAUUUUUUGUCGUGUAAAUCACAUGAUUGAACGAAAGAUACUUAAGGAUCAUUUAGACGGCGCGCAAACUCGCAUGCGAUUUUAGUUACCUACAUUGCGGUCUAAAGAUUUUACAUAUAAUUCAGCCGACCGAUCAUAUGUACUGCAAUAUAAUGAAACCGCACCGGCUAUAUGAGCCCAUGCGCGCUGGAGCUCAUUUGAUUGAUGGGAAGGGAUGGGUUUGGGAAUUCAUGAAUGCGAGGGAUUGAUGGGAAUGGGAUUUUAAUAUGGGGGUGUCGUCAUUUCCAUGCUCUCUGGCAAAUAAACCUGACAGCGAUAGCUAAAGUAAAAUUAAAUCAUCUGAUUGUCGCCAUAUUGUUUAUUUCUUAAUUUCAUGUCUUUGACACUGGGACAAGUAAGAUACAUCGAUUGAUAUAAGAAUCAUCAAGAUAGCCCACGCGAUUGGUCUCUGGUCUAACUAAACUAGUUUAGUUUGAAAAUAGGUAGUUACAAACAAAAUUAAUUUUCAGGCUACUGUUGCUGUAGAGUAUCUCUUCAUCGGUACUCCUUUUUUUCGAGAAACAGACAUAAACGUCCCUAAAUAGUCUUACAAAAAAAUAACGUAAUAACAGAAAGUGGAGUUGCCCGAGAGCAUCACAUGACAGCCACAUGCGCAUUUGAACAGCAUUGGGGAAAAUAAUCAAGCAUACGGAUCGACUUAUGACCACGCGAGCUUAUGUACAGGUAACCAGUAAGAGGUCUCAAUAUUACACCAACCCAACUACUGGUGGGGCAAUGGCGUCUUUAAAAAUGCCAAAGGCAAUUUUAUGUCCCUCAUGACGUGUCAAAAUGAAUCAUACCUUCGGAUAAGGGAUCUACGGACGUCACGCAAAAAACUAAUAAUCAUCCUUGUUGUUUCCGAAGUAAUACAUGAUUUAUUUGUCUAAUGAAAAAGGGAAAAUAUUUCAUUUUAAAAAUCAUUCCAUGACCUUUAAAUUUGAAUGUAAUUUUAUAUUAAUUUGAACAUUCUUUAUUUCUCAAUCUGAACCGCCAAUAUUAGUACAAACGCCUUUCACUAAUAGUGCAGAAAGCGCUAAGGUAAUUAUAAUAAAGCCCGACCAGAAAUAUAUGAUCAUUGUCAAGAGGGCGCUGUUGUGUCUCAUGUAUAGGACAGUUCAGUUUAGUAUGAAAAAUUUAGUUCCAAUGAAAUUGCGCAAUAUUUAUUUAUUUAUUUAAAACUUUAUUGCACAAAAGACAAACUUAAUGUACAAAAGGCAAACUUAAUGCCGUGAGGCAUUCUCUACCAGUCAACCUUAGGGCAAAGCAGAAAAGAUUGUAGGCGGCGCGUUUAAAACUAAAAGAAAUUGAAAUUGAAAGAAUUAGAGUCCUAAUACACAUAAAUUAAUUAUAAACUACUUAAAUACAUAAAGACACAUACAUACAUUACAUAAAUAUAUAUAUAUAUAUAUAAUACUAUAUGGCUAUACUACAAUAUGGCGCGUGAUCAUAUAUUACUGGUCAGGCUUUACAUAAUGCUAGUUAAUUAUAAUGCAGUGCAUAUUAUAAUGGAUGAUAUAUAUAAUAUUACCUAAAUUAUUAACAUUAUUUUGUAACAUUGUUGUAUUUUGAACUUAAUUAGUAAAUUAUUUUGAACAUUCGGAGGGAUUCUGAAACUAUUCACUUUCUUAAAUAACAAGCAAAAGGUUUUACGCAGCGUUUCAUACGUCUCUUAGUAAGAAGGGAAGACUGCGAUAACUCAAAAACAGUUAACUGAUAAUGUCCACUAUAGUUUUCGUUGAAAGCUUUACUUUCAUGAUUUAUUCCAUAUUUUUUGGACCCAUGGUUGAAAAGUUUGAAGGGUGAGGGGAACACAUUUUUUUCUUUCGAUGCGAUUAUAUCUGAAAAUAAUCACUUCAAAAAAUGCUUGUUGUAGACCCGUAUUCAUUUAGAAAGACCUAUCCAACGAUAUUCCACAUUAUUGAGAUAAAGCGUCUUUUUUUUAAUAUUAUGGGAUGUACCCUAAAAACAUUUUUUUGGAUUUUAUUUUACCACUUUUUCGGAUUGAUUACUAUAUCUAUGCCAAAUUUCAGCUUUCUAGCACUAACGAUCACGGAGAAAAGCCUCGGACAGACAGACGGACAUGCUGAAACUAUAAGGGUUCCUAGUUGACUACGGAACCCUAAAAAGCAAUUAGUAAAUAAAGAAAGAUAAGAAGAAAGAAAGACUAAUCAAUAACAAAUUACAAGCGUUCAUAAUAUCACUGCACUCUACUACAGUGAUCUACAAGUUUUGAACAGCGUUUUUAAAAUGAAAAUAAUGCCUUUAAAGAAUGCACUUCACUUUCAAUGCGCCAUCGCCUAAUUUGCAGUCCAAACAAUAAUAAUAUGAAAUUGAAGUUGGACAUUACAUUAUUUCUUUAAAUUUAAUUUAAUUUACAACUUUUUUUCAGUAAACUAAGUUUGCUAUGUUCAGAGUCAAAGCAUUUUACUAUGUGUGUUUUGAUAAUUCACGUUGUUGAUUUAAUGCCCGUUCCAGUUUUAACUGUGGGUAAAAGCAGAGUUUUAACGAUCUUUACUUCUAUGUAAAGUGUCACUCUGGGGCAAAUUCGUCUGCACCAUCAGGCGUGCAAAAUCCUCCGAUCUCCCAAGAAAAUAAAUUCAAUUAAAAUUGCUAAAGUUGGGGUGUGUCUUGGAUUGAGUGGAUUCUGUUUGUGUGAUAUGAGAAAAGCUUUGAACGGAAUAAUCGUGUGUGCUGGGUUUGAAUGACUUAGUUCUGCUUUAAGACCGAGGACCGCUUCGUCCACAAAUCUAUUUCGACACCUUCAGAACUUGUCAUUAUUGUCCACUGUUCUGAUUCGUCAACAUUCCUAUAUCGUCACUUUGCUAUCUUGUCCACAUUCCUAUAUGGUCUACAGUGCUAACUCGUCCACAUUCCUACAUGUUCCGCAGUGUUGAUAUUGGUUGAGGUCAAAAUGACAGGCCAAGACUUUCAAGCCAAAAAUUUUCAGUUGAAAAAAAACAUGCAAAAGUAAAUGAAAAAUGCCUUAUUUGUCUUACUUAUAUAAGGCAGUCAGGAUAAUUAAUGGUACAAUAAUGUUGACGAGUUGGCACUAUGGUCAAAAUAGGAAUGUAGAAGAUCUGUGACUGCAGUAAUAAUAGUAAUAUGGAUUAUAUGGACGAGUUAGGAAGGUGAUGAUUUAGAAAAUUUUGUGCUGACGACAUGGCAUUCUGAAUGAUUUAAAAAUAUGGAUUGAGGACGAAACAGUCCUGAGCCGUGAGAAUUGGAGUCAUGGGAUUUAGAAAUGCGCAUGUGCGAGAGAAAAGUAGCUGUGUGUGUGUGUGUGGAGUAUUUAGACGGAACGAGUAAUAUUAUGGGGCACCCUGAAAAGAAAAGUGGUUAUCAAGUCAUGCGACGAGGACUACGGGGAGUUUAUUAAUGCGUAGGGAUGUAAGUAAAAGAUAACCCUAGGAAUGGGAGAUAGACUUUUUCAAUGGAAAUGUUCUACCUAAGGAUGAAAAAACAUACUGAUAAUCAAACAAAUAGAUGGAAGAAGGGCGAGCGAAUGAUUUGAGAUUAUAGUCUGCUCUUUCGAUAUAUAGAAAAGUGAAAUGUACGAGUGAAGUUGGAAUAUGACUGAGUGGAAGUCCGAUUGUUAUUUUGUAGAAUUGCUGUUUGGGGCAUCUAUUUAUCUCUGGAGUUUCUCUUCUUAUUUUACCCAAAUAGGCUUUAUAGAGAAGAAGUCGUCGAAUCGAUGGAUACCAUUAGAAGAAGAUCCGGCUGCCAAAUUUACGCAUUUCAGAAGAACAUUAUCCUCAAUAACCAUACUCCCGAGAAGAAACCCAUUAUAUACGUAAUGUUGGUAUCCGUAUUCAGCUAGAUGUCGAGAUUAAAUCAAAAGGUCUGACGUGAAUAAUCUUUGGUUUAAACAUUCGGGGUUGCAGUUACGCUCUGAAAUAGUUCAAGGAUGGACGGAGCUUCUAUGGACUGCAGGAAGAUCAAUGGAUAAAGAAUAUAAUAAAUGUAUAGUU